GAAAAUUUUGGUGCCAUUAUUAGUUUUUUGACCCUAUAAAAGUUUGGGAAAAAGACUCCAAAAUUUCCAAGUUUGCUCGCCAAGAUUUUUCUUAUUGCAUAAUUUUAAAGUGCACAAGAGUUAUGGCGAUCGUCAAGAUUUCGCCACAAAUCCUGACUGAUAGCCAAAACAUUUCAGCAUUAUGGCUGAAAAUUAUGGUGAUUGUCAUAAUUUUGUUGCUUCAAAAUUCUAGCGAUAAAAAUUCUAGUGAUCGUCAGAAAUUUUCAUGCUUCAAUAUUUUGGUGGGUGCUACACAAUACAGGAAAGCAUGCUUUAACAUUCAGACGAGGGGCUACUUUUCCAAAAUGAGAGAGAAAUUAAUGGGGUCAAAAUAUCAACAAUAAUUUAAGAAAAGUUCCAUCUCGCACAACUUUCAUGAAUCAGAAUGUAGUUCUAUUUCUCGGUUUCUCAGUGUUCAAUAACCAUAUAGAGGUCCCAGCCUAAUUCUGAUUCGCGUCACAUAGGAACCUGUGGUUAAAGAUGGAUGGAUCAAUUCUUGGUGGUUAGAGGGUCUUUAGUGGAAUUAGUUCCAUCACUCCCUUUUCUGAGUUAUAGCCUCGCUGUGUCCAACCCAAUAAUGGUAUUAAUACUUUAAGUUAUUUCGUCUUCCAUGUAAAUUGCAAAAUUGACAAAGAAGUCAGCAAUAUUCAACUACCUAGUAAGUGUACACAUAUAGUGUGAAAUCGCCUCAUCUUGUGCUUAUGUACCGUCAUUCGUAUGGCUUUUGAUGUGUUUGAGCUUGUUACAUGCUUUUUAUUUGUGACGAAAGAAGACUGAAAGAGAUCAAUCUGGAGAAAAAGUUGAGUGAAGAACACAAAGAAGUUACAGGGCCAGGUCAAUGCCCCUGCUCGCACCAGAAACAGGUAUGGACAAAAAGAAGCUAGCUUCUGGCAGAGGCAGUAAAACCAAUGAAUCCAGGCUCCCAUCCCGAGGACUGUUAGGAAAGACCUAAGGCAGCUCGUCUGCAUCCUCUCAUGAUGCGAUAAUUGAGAAUUGGUCAAACGCGACUCAUGCAAACCCUAAAUCAUAUAAAUACAUCUUAGAAUGGUGUUUUUUUGGGGAGACAAUACAUUUAAAGGUAAGAACGCGCGAAGGGCGAUGCCAAACGGAUUCGCCACCGAGUUUUCAUUCUUCAACUUAUUUCUCUUCUUGGUUAUAAUUUUUACAUAUUAUUAUGAGCAGCCACAUUUUUACUCUAGGGUUUGAUGAAACUGAUUUUUGGAUGAAUUCUUGAUUAUGGUUGAUUAAUAAUUGAGUCGUUUUAAUCUUUACUUAUUCAACUAUAUUUUGACUAUAAUUAAUUAAAG
rnacentral:lncRNA from 1 species